AUUGAACGCUGGCGGCAUGCUUUACACAUGCAAGUCGAACGGUAACAGGCCGCAAGGUGCUGACGAGUGGCGAACGGGGGAGUAAUGCAUCGGAACGUGCCCAGUCGUGGGGGAUAACGCAGCGAAAGCUGUGCUAAUACCGCAUACGAUCUAUGGAUGAAAGCGGGGGACCGUAAGGCCCCGCGCGAUUGGAGCGGCCGAUGUCAGAUUAGGUAGUUGGUGGGGUAAAGGCCCACCAAGCCGACGAUCUGUAGCUGGUCUGAGAGGACGACCAGCCACACUGGGACUGAGACACGGCCCAGACUCCUACGGGAGGCAGCAGUGGGGAAUUUUGGACAAUGGGCGCAAGCCUGAUCCAGCAAUGCCGCGUGCAGGAAGAAGGCCUUCGGGUUGUAAACUGCUUUUGUACGGAACGAAACGGUCUGGGUUAAUACCCUGGGCUAAUGACGGUACCGUAAGAAUAAGCACCGGCUAACUACGUGCCAGCCGCCGCCGUAAGAC
rnacentral:rRNA from 1 species